rnacentral:rRNA from 1 species
ACACGGGGGGCGCAAGCGUUAUUCGGAAUUAUUGGGCGUAAAGGGCGCGUAGGCGGUCUUGUCGGUCAGAUGUGAAAGCCCAGGGCUCAACCCUGGACGUGCAUUUGAAACAGCAAGACUUGAGUACGGGAGAGGAAAGCGGAAUUCCUGGUGUAGAGGUGAAAUUCGUAGAUAUCAGGAGGAACACCGAUGGCGAAGGCAGCUUUCUGGACCGAUACUGACGCUGAGGCGCGAAGGCGUGGGUAGCGAACAGGAUUAGAUACCCGAGUAGUCC